UGUGAGAAAGUUACAGAAUGAUUGGCAGUUUAAAUGGGGGAAAUUCUUUAGCAGAGACAUUUUUUUCUGCCAUAUUUAAUGCACAUACCCUACCUAAGACCCCUCACGGGUUUUCACAAUUCACAGAAACUCUCUUUCAUCUCUGCUGCAUCUCUCGCUUCAUUCACACAUUGCUGUUGUAAAGCAUGAGACAGAAAUGGCAGCCGUCUCUAAAAAUGGCAUUUGGUGUGAAGAUAAGACUCAUUACAACAAUCCUUUGAUCAUACUGCAUUUUACAGAAGAACAAAAAAUAUGUGUACAUACUCAUAACAUGGUCUCCAUAUUUCUUUCAGGAGCUCAAUUUGUCCUUCUGCACAGUUUUGGCAAGAAAAAGCCAUCUGAAGGCAUGAAUGUAGAUAGAGCAUCGGUCUGUGGUUUAUGACAGAGAACCUACGCAACAAACAGCAAAAGGUCUACGGGUUACAGCAAAAGCCUACGCUAAAAGGAAAUCGCACACUUUUACGCAGAGAUGUUUAUUUGUGUUGCCAUUGUGGGCCGCUCUCAGUGCCUCACCACUGAACUACAGGCCUGAGAGGAAGUUUCCAGUGCGGUUACCAUGACGAGGGUCUUGGAGUCCAGGAAAUUCAGGUAGGAAGUUUUAAAAUAAUUUUCAGUGUUAAGAGAAAUGACAUCCAAGAGGGACACAGACAAACAUUUGUCCAGAUGAGCUGCGGUAACAGGAUUGUGUUUGGACAGGAGCUUCUCUCCGCAGGGAACAAGCUUUAGGAACAAGCUGAAGAAAUUGAGAAAUACAUGCCGGCGGUUAUUCUGAAAACGUCUGUUUCCCACUGGAAUGAAGCUUUUACAGCCUCCUCGGUUGGAGAGAGAGAGAGGGAUGGAAUGAGAAAGAGAGCGAGUAAAACAGUGAAUCAUGAGUGCAGCUUUGAACAACAAGGGGAAAUCCUCCUAUUGAGAAGGCAUGCGCUGUGGAAACAUGCAUCACUCAUAGAGAUUUCACAGAGCUUUUCUCAAGGCUUCCAUCUUCAGGCUUGUUGGUUAGUCACAGACCACACAUGCUGGAGAAUGCUGGAAUUACACCAAAACGAGGGCAGAGCGUCUUGUGUAAGCAGUUUUUCCUUGAGGUAAUUAAAAAUGUCACAUAAGGGCUUCAUUAGUCAUGGAGUUUCCUAAUGAGAGGUAUGGGAAUGCAUUACAGCAAAAUUAGAAAAUAACAUAUGCAAAGCAUGCAUUGUUUGGUGCAUUUAUUGUUUU